rnacentral:rRNA from 1 species
UGGGGAAUAUUGCACAAUGGGGGAAACCCUGAUGCAGCCAUGCCGCGUGUGUGAAGAAGGCCUUCGGGUUGUAAAGCACUUUCAGUAGGGAGGAAGGGAUGAUGUCUAAUACGCAUCAUCAUUGACGUUACCUACAGAAGAAGCACCGGCUAACUCCGUGCCAGCAGCCGCGGUAAUACGGAGGGUGCAAGCGUUAAUCGGAAUAACUGGGCGUAAAGCGCACGCAGGCGGUUGGAUAAGUCAGAUGUGAAAUCCCCGGGCUCAACCUGGGAACUGCAUUUGAAACUGUCUGACUAGAGUCUUGUAGAGGGGGGUAGAAUUCCAGGUGUAGCGGUGAAAUGCGUAGAGAUCUGGAGGAAUACCGGUGGCGAAGGCGGCCCCCUGGACAAAGACUGACGCUCAGGUGCGAAAGCGUGGGGAGCAAACAGG